UCUUCUCCGACGCGACGCGCACGUUGGAUACGGUACCCUUUAACUUGGAUGUCACGUGGCGGUAAGAUACGUUUGGUUAAAAAUUCAACCACAAAGUAAAUAACAACAAUGCUUAGUUUUUACAUAUGUUUGUGAUUUGCCUGUAAAAACUCAAAAGCUUUGCAUGUUAGUUAACUAAACUUAAACGCAACUAAAGUUAGCUCCUAGUAACUAACGUUAGCAGGCUCACCCUCUAUUUCCAUCCCACUCACACAUUGUGAGUGUGUCUGUGUGUGUCUGUGUGUGUCUGUGUGUGGGGAUGAGUUCGCAAGAACAACGCCACAUUCUGGAAAGCUUGGAGGAGCUGGUGGAGCAGCAGGAGUUUGAGGACCUCCUUCAGACAGGGGCAGCAGCAGCUCCUCAACCCCCGGUGAAGGUGAGGUGGCGGAGAGGGACGCGGAUCCAGACAUGCUGAACGCCGUUGUAAGACCGGUCUCACCUCACACCCUCAUGUAGAGGGGACCUUUGCUCCAGAGACUGCUUCACACAUAUAUUCUGCUGAAUGUCUUUUGCAAGAUCUGCAACCCUCCCUGAGCUGCUCUGAUGAAGAGCUUAGUGAAGCAUCAGCAGACCAAAGAGCUCCUCUGGCUUCUCUGGAUUGGAGCAUUCGCAAUGCUCUCUUUUCAGAGAGAUGGAGGGAAAAGAGACCAUCUCUUCUUAGUAGCAUGCUGGCCAAAGAGAGUAUGGCAACAAAUGGCUGGUUGUAAAUGUAAAUAUUACCUUGUAGGACGGUAUGAUCUCAACAUGCCGGAGCUGACCUGCGAGGGAUGCCCGGCAACUUGGACCGCAGGACUUGAUGACCUGAUAAAAAGUGGAUACUGGCCUGCCCCCCUUCAUUUUGUAACAAUUUAUGAGACAGACCUGUUUUAUACGUUUGAAGACAUGAAGAUGGCAUCACCCGGGAUGUCUUUUCAGGCAUAUCUAAGAAUGCUUGAGAAGCGGACUGCUCGCUUUGGCCGUACUGGGAAGAUCUCAUCAGACAGCUUCCAAAAAAGCUUUUUUUGAAUGGGCUGCUGUACAAUAUGAGGUUGACUCCACCUGCAAGGAGGAGAAAUUCAUCUGUCCUGCCUGUACCCAGCAAUGCUUUCUGUCUCGGUGGAUGGAAACCGCAAGCGUUACCGCUUCAAAAGUACUGCAAGAUCUCAGGAGCGGGCCAUCUUUGACGGUGUCUUCAUUGCAAAAGAUGACGAUGUGACCAGAUUUGUGGAUCACAUCCACAGCAAAAAAAAAAAAAACAUGUCACUGGAAGGAGCAAUUGUGGUGGGGAGGGGUCGGCUGCCAGAGAGACCUCCCAAAGAUCAAUCAGUAAGGUGGAUGAGGAGUGACUGGAGCUGGCAGUGUGCAGGCAUGAUGUCUUGCUGGCUGCCCUUAAUAUGUUUGUACAUGCUAAAGCGCAUGACUUCAAAUGUGAGGUGAAAUGGAGUGGCACAAACCAAGAAGGUGCUGGUAAAACACUAGGGGAGGAAGUAGAGCAAUGUAAAGCUUCCCUCUCCAGGAUAUCAGUCACCACAAAGCAUAUGUCAGAAGCAGGACGCAAUGACAUGCUGACACUCCUGGCCAUAAGAUGGAACCAGCAGAAAUGUCCAAACCUGGCUACUGGACUUUCCCAGAGAUACCAUAAGACAUCUAAAGCUUUCAAUAUCCCGAUUGGGGACCUGGAAACCCUGAAAGCCCAGCAUCAACUGGGUGAACAAACUGUGGAAGAAUUUGUGCAAGAAGUAAAAGAAUGGGCCGAUGAUAAGAACGUGAAACAUUAUCUGACAUGGAGAAACAUUUGUGUCGUUUGUGAAGUUGACGCUACCUGCAAUCAAUUUUGUCAGGAGAAAUUGACCAUCAAGGCACACCACAAGCUUUGUGUAAGAAGAUUGAGGCCUUCACAACCAGCAUCAACACGAGAGCUCAACUCCUAUACUGGAAAAAUGACCGCAACAAAGGCCGACAUAGAAUUCGCAGAAAAAUAAGGCAACAGAAGACCACUUUGAAGGCCAUGGUAGCGGAGUACAACAGUCUCGUUGCAUGGAUAGCGUUCUGGACACAGAAUAUUCCUGGCCUUGGCAAAUUACACAGAGUGGAAUGCAUUUCAUGUACUGCUCUGCUGAUUUCAGCACAAAGAAAGAAGUCUUCGAUAGGGUCAUGGGUGUUCGAAGGCUUCAAGAGGAGAAGAAGAUCCUUGUGAAAGAAAUGAAGCAGCACUGGGAGUCUCUCAAAGCCCAUGCCAGGGUCUUGUCCGAGUUGUCUCAGCAUCAGAGUGAAGACGCCAUGCAAAGACAUCUCACAGAGAAAGCAACAAAGGGUCACACCUGCCUCAUCCUCAGAAGGCAGUGGGAAAUGAGAGAGCUGAAGCGGCAUACAAGAAAACACUACCUGCAUGUGCUGUCAUCAGCAGAUGACAUAAUGGACACAAUGGACAGUUCAGAUGAGUUCGACAUUAGCUGUGAAGAUUCAGAGUCUGAUGCAAUGUAAAACAGGAAGAUGUGGUGCUCAUGAUCACAGUGCACCGUGUGCGACACAUGGUCACACAGAGCAUGUGGCUUUAAAAAAGCCACAUGCUCUUAAAAACUAACGUAUGUGCUCAUUGUCAGGAUUAAGUUGGAGAUGACAGUUGUAGUUGUAUUAGGUUGUUGUUAUUUCUGCAUUUGGUUUUGAAAUGUUUAAUCACUUAUAUAAGGUUUGAUUUUUCUACUGGGUUGUGGGAAGUUCCUGGUUAAUGUUGUCUUACAUCUUUACAACACAAACCACUGUCCUUUACUGUCUUAUCUUUGAUUCACGUUCAGUUCUGCAUCUUUUCAGGGAUUUUCUUUCCAGUUGAUCUUUACUGUUUGAUUAAUAAUUGUUCUUUAAUGUUUAAUUAAACAAAGGCACAAUAAAGCUACAUUUCUGAUUGA